CAGCAUGGUGACUUCUGACCCUCGCCGCGGCCUCCGUCGCCUUCGCGGUACGGACUGUACUUACAUGGGCGCUGCCAUGUUGGCUCAGGCUCGAUCAAUCGAGUGCAGUCGCGAGACCGGAGCAGAUGAGAACCGAGAUGAUAGAUUGGAAGAUAACCCCUGCUGUGUGCUCAUCUCAGAGAUGAAUCUGACCUGGGCGCUCCCCUCACCACGACUCAGAACCCAGUGUCCCAUAAGAGGGUUGGUACACAGUCCCUCUGUGAAAGUCCCAGACUCCUGUCAAGAAGGUGUGAAGGCUAAUCUCCUUCCCUGAGAACCUGGCUGGGCCUAGAGACUUGCUUGACCCGUGGAACAUGGCGGACAUAAGGGGCUGUGACCUCAAGGCUAGGCCAGGAGACGUCUUACUGCUUCCCCCAACCCGGGUGAACUUUCCAGGAGCCCCAAGCCACCAGGUGAAAAGUCGGAUAACCCGGGACUGGCCUGUUCAAGUCAGAGGUCCCUGCGGAGCCCAGCCUUCCCGAGCCCGGCCGAGGAACCGCGCGUGUGUGAGGGACGCCAUCUUGGAGCCUCCCGACCUCCCUGUUCUCCAGCUGAAAAGCACUCUUUCUGCGCCCGCUCCAGGGAACAGGGCAGUGACCCAGCCGAGCCCAGCCUGGACUUCCGACCCUCCAAACUGCAAAAUGGGUGAAAUAAUCCAACAGAAAACAAUUCACGGACAAACAAAAAUGCAUCCCUUUGUCAGCAAAUGUGGUUGGAAGAUGCAAAGAGAGUGCUGCUGAAGACGUGAUGUAACAAGUACUAGAGCAAAUUAUUCAGUGUGGGAGCUUUAUUCUACAAUUGGAUGAAAGUACAGAUGUUUCUGACAUGUCUCAGCUUAUGGUAGUGCCAGAUUUAGGUUUCAGUAAUGAAAUACACAUAGAAUUACUUUUUUAUGAGGUGUUCCGGAGAAGAGAUAGUUUCAAGAACCAUCGAUUUAUUCAAUAAAAAAAAUGCUUUAUGAAAAAACAGCAUAAAUAGAGAUAGAAUGGAUGCUUAAACUGCAAUACAUGAAGGAUUUCAGGUCAAGGUCUAUAGAGAUGACUUCAAACAUGUAAUUCACUCAUGGAGUUCCGUCAUGGUGCUGCAGAAGCAAAUCCAACUAGGAACCAUGAGGUUGUGGGUUCAAUCCCUAGCCUUGCUCAGUGGGUUAAGGAUCUGGCAUUGCCGUGAGCUGUGGUGUAGGUCGAAGAUGCAGCUCAGAUCCUGCAUUGCUGUGGCUGUGGUGUAGGCCGGCAGCAGUAGCUCCACUGGUCCCCUAGCCUGGGAUAAAAAAAGAAAUUCACUCAAAAAUGAGCUGUUGAGGCAAAGAAGUUGAGGAUAGAAGUUGAGGAUAGAUGCAAGAUGCCAUUGAUAUGGUUUAUAUUAUAAAAUUAAGACCUUUAAUACAUAAUAGAAUUCUUACAGUAUUUUGCAAUGAGGAUAUAGAGGUUUGAUUAUUUUGUAACGAGAUAUAGUGGUUUGAAGGCUGUCUUGUGGCAAAAUAUUUUAAUGAUGUGGGAGACUGAAAGAUGAGUUAUGCAAAUUCUUUUUUUACAAAGGAGAAAUAUUGCAACCUUGCUAGCUAUUUUUUAUAAUGACAACUGGCUGUCAAUAGUAUGCUAUACAACCAAUUUUUUUAAAUGUUUAGUUUUGAAAUAAUUUUAUAUUUAAAGUGCUUCAAAGACAGUGCGAAAGUUCCUGUGUACUGUUUUCUCAU